rnacentral:lncRNA from 1 species
CUAAUCAAGACGUUCCUUGUAUUGUAUUUAGUUUCAACAAUGCUGCUCGUCGGUAAUAGUUGGCUAGGUUAGGAAAAAUGGCGUCGCGGGGGACGGAAAUAGCUGGCUAGCUAACCUCGAUGGCUGGCUAGCUAACAAUUAUCAAGCUAUGACAAAGACAACUAGGUAGCUCGCUAGGUAACACUGCACUAGUCAAAUCGUUCCGUUGUGAAGUAUUAGUAACUACAGCGCUGCUAGUCGGUAACGGAUGGCUAUCUGGCAGUGGGUUAAUGAUGACUAGGUGUGUUGAGUAAGUCUGGCGCCGCGUCGCGGCUGGCUAGCACACCUCGAUAAUACUCAAACUCAAACUACACAAUUAUCUUAGAUACAGAGACAGCACAGACAACUAUGUAGCUGGCUAACUAACACUAACACCACACUAAUCAAGUCGUUGCGUUGUAAUGUAAUAGUUUCUGCGGUACUGUUAGUCGGUAGAAGUUGGCUAGCUAACAGUGAUGACUAGCUAGCUAGCAGCUAGCAGUGUUGACUACGUUAGGAGGACGAAGAUAGCUAGCCUCGAUAAUUACUCAGUUACUCUAAACUACACAAUUAUCUUUGAUACAAAGACGGCUAUGUAGCUAGCUAAGAAGAAUUGCUCAGAUCAGACCAAUUGCAAUGCAGCAAGAGGAGGGAAUACUUCACAUGAUGGUGCUACAUCACAUACCAACAGCCAUAAUGACAGCUAUAAUGACAGCCAUGACGACAACCGUGUUGACAAAAGUCAACACAUAUCAGGCCAAAGCAUAUCAAGCGAUAUGAAAGGCAAUUUUUCCAUUGGCAACCAGACCAACAUCACCAGUCAUUCCGCUCCACCAAAAACUCCCCAAAAAUCUGUCGUACCCAGCUUCACCAUUGCCAACGUUACAGGCGGCAAAGUGCGUCUCUACUACAAGUCAGAGGAGAUGGCUCUCAGUGACCUCAUCGAGGGGUGUAAACUCAAGAAGGGCGACUCCAUGCUCAUCCUGGAAGGCACCGUUAAGAAGAGCGUUCUCCCGCAUAAACUCUAUGUCACUGGCUUCCAAGUAGAAAAUGACAAUACUCAAUUAUGCCCUGAGGAAGGCCCAAUUUAUGGGAUGAACAACCUCCUGGCAGAGUAUGCUGAGGGUCAACCCAAGUCCUACAUCCUCACUGCUGACAAAGAGGUGAAGAUAGCUGAAACAGGAAAGAUCUGGAUGGAUGAGGACGGGUUGGAUCACAACCCCAAAAAGUAACGCCACCAGAGAACCUCCUGUAUCUUAACACCCUUUAUUAUUCACAGAUUAAACUACUUACAAAUUAUUGAUGAAAAAUAAAGAGAGUAUACAUCACAGAUAAGUGAAAUAGUGCUUCAAGAUACACUCUGUGUAUGGUAGAAAUCAGCAAUGUUAUCACUGUAGUUUUGUGACAAAUAAAUAAAUGUUACCUAACUGAGAAAACGUUAGUGUGUGUGUGUGUGUGUGUGUGUGUGUGUGUGAUUACAUUACAUGAUUGGAGAUGCCACCAGAUAUGCUACAUACGGAUACUUAUGUUAACAACGGUCAACAACACAAGAUUGUAAUAUACGUUUUAUUUCUAUGGUUGUAGUCAUUUUAUUUCAAGCAUACAAAGUGAUGGUGCAAGACACUUACAGGGAGCACAAAUAUAUAUAGCAGAGAAAAAGCCUGCAUAUUUCCUCAUUUCCUUGGAAUUGAAGAUCAUGUGAACUAGAAUGUUAGAUACAGUGCAUUCGGAAAGUGUUCAGAACCCUUCAGACUUUUUCUACAUUUUGUUACGUUACAGUCAUAUUCUAAAAUGGAUUAAAUACUUUUUUCUACACACAAUGCCCCAUAAUGACAAAGCAAAAACAGAUUUUUAGACAUUUUUGCAAAUGUAAAUUUAUUAAAAACUCCAAAAUAACUUAUUUACCUGUGCAUACGAAUUCAGAUCCUUUGCUAUGAUCGAAAUUGAGUUCAGUUGCAUCCUGUUUCCAUUAAUCAUCCUUGAGAUGUUUCUAUAACUUGAUUGGAGUCCACCUGUGGUAAAUUCAAUUGGUUGGACAUGAUUUGGAAAGGCACACACCUGUCUAUAUAAGGUUCCACAGUUGACAGUGCAUGUCAGAGCAAAAACCAAGCCAUGAGGACAAAAGAAUUGUCCAUAGACCUUCAAGACAGGAUUGUGUCAAGUCCCAAAUCUGGGGAAGGGUACCAAAAC